GGAAUCAACGCUGGCGGCGUGCCUAACACAUGCAAGUCGAACGCGAAAGGGGAGCAAUCCCUGAGUAGAGUGGCAAACGGGUGAGUAACACGUGGGUGACCUGCCUCAGAGUGGGGGAUAACGUCCCGAAAGGGACGCUAAUACCGCAUAACAUCCUGCCUUUGGAAAGGCGGAGAUCAAAGCCGGGGAUCGCAAGACCUGGCGCUUGGAGAGGGGCCCGCGUCUGAUUAGCUAGUUGGUAGGGUAAUGGCCUACCAAGGCAACGAUCAGUA
rnacentral:rRNA from 1 species